rnacentral:rRNA from 1 species
GACGAACGCUGGCGGCGUGCUUAACACAUGCAAGUCGAACGGAAAGGCCCUGCUUUUGUGGGGUGCUCGAGUGGCGAACGGGUGAGUAACACGUGAGUAACCUGCCCUUGACUUUGGGAUAACUUCAGGAAACUGGGGCUAAUACCGGAUAGGAGCUCCUGCUGCAUGGUGGGGGUUGGAAAGUUUCGGCGGUUGGGGAUGGACUCGCGGCUUAUCAGCUUGUUGGUGGGGUAGUGGCUUACCAAGGCUUUGACGGGUAGCCGGCCCGAGAGGGUGACCGGCCACAUUGGGACUGGGAUACGGCCCAGACUCCUACGGGAGGCAGCAGUGGGGAAUAUUGCACAAUGGGCGGAAGCCUGAUGCAGCAACGCCGCGUGCGGGAUGACGGCCUUCGGGUUGUAAACCGCUUUCGCCUGUGACGAAGCGUGAGUGACGGUAAUGGGUAAAGAAGCACCGGCUAACUACGUG